UACAGAGGGUGCGAGCGUUGUCCGGAAUCACUGGGCGUAAAGGGCGCGUAGGUGGCGCCGCAAGUCCAUGGUGAAAGCUCGAUGCUCAACAUCGAGUCGGCCACGGAGACUGCGGGGCUCGAGCACUGUAGGGGCAGAUGGAAUUCCGGGUGUAGCGGUGGAAUGCGUAGAGAUCCGGAAGAACACCGGUGGCGAAGGCGGUCUGCUGGGCAGUUGCUGACACUGAGGCGCGACAGCGUGGGGAGCGAACCGG
rnacentral:rRNA from 1 species